UACGUAGGGUGCAAGCGUUGUCCGGAAUUAUUGGGCGUAAAGAGCUCGUAGGCGGUCUGUCGCGUCGAAUGUGAAAACUCGGGGCUCAACCCCGAGCCUGCAGUCGAUACGGGCAAACUAGAGUGUGGUAGGGGAGACUGGAAUUCCUGGUGUAGCGGUGAAAUGCGCAGAUAUCAGGAGGAACACCGGCGGCGAAGGCGGGUCUCUGGGCCAUAACUGACGCUGAGGAGCGAAAGCGUGGGGAGCGAACAGG
rnacentral:rRNA from 1 species